rnacentral:rRNA from 1 species
UUCCUACGGGCAGCAGUAGGGAAUCUUCCGCAAUGGACGAAAGUCUGACGGAGCAACGCCGCGUGAGUGAUGAAGGUUUUCGGAUCGUAAAGCUCUGUUGUUAGGGAAGAACAAGUACCGUUCGAAUAGGGCGGUACCUUGACGGUACCUAACCAGAAAGCCACGGCUAACUACGUGCCAGCAGCCGCGGUAAUACGUAGGUGGCAAGCGUUGUCCGGAAUUAUUGGGCGUAAAGGGCUCGCAGGCGGUUUCUUAAGUCUGAUGUGAAAGCCCCCGGCUCAACCGGGGAGGGUCAUUGGAAACUGGGGAACUUGAGUGCAGAAGAGGAGAGUGGAAUUCCACGUGUAGCGGUGAAAUGCGUAGAGAUGUGGAGGAACACCAGUGGCGAAGGCGACUCUCUGGUCUGUAACUGACGCUGAGGAGCGAAAGCGUGGGGAGCGAACAGGAUUAGAUAC